UGUUCUGUAGCUUAGUUGGUUAAAGCGCCGGUCUAGCGUACACGGAGUCGUGAGUUUGAGUCUCACUAGAACGC
rfam:Aedes aegypti strain Liverpool supercont1.244 genomic scaffold, whole genome shotgun sequence.